CUUUUUUAUUCUUUUAAUUCGAGAUCAUUUUUGUUUAUUGGGUGACAUCUAGAAAACAAUGAUAGAGUUAUAAAAGUCUAAACCAAGGUCCCGUCAAUACGUAAAUAUUAUAUUCUAAAUAUUUCAGUCACAGUUUUAGGUUCAGAAAUUUCAGUUGUCGGUUCUUUGAAUGCUGACUGCAAAAACCUGAACAAUCAAAAUGUAUGUAACUACAUAACCUUACUUUUGGGUUUUAUUCAAUCUUAAUUAAUAAAAAAAAAAGAAAAAGAAAACAUAAAAUACAGAUACAUAGAAAGUAAGUACUGCCAUUAAGCUUUUUAUAGUAUAUACAAUGGUACUGCCUAUCCCAAUACCAAGUUUCAUAUCUACAUAUUUUUUAGACUGUUAAAAAGUAAAGCAAARAGUUAGAGCWUGAAAUUUUAUUAUAAGAAUGAACAUCAUCAAUGACUCCAUCCACAGUUUGAAAAUCUGAUAAUAUUAAGGUUUAGGUUGAUCAAAUAGUGGACCUGGAAUCUGGUGCUAAUUCAUGUGAAUAAAGGAAAUAGGAAAAGACAAGUACCUACUGUAAUCCAAAGGUCCAACUUGCUUCCAUUGAUCUUUCCUUGCACUACAGGAUAUACUUAAUGUCAAUUACUGGAAAUAUAUUUCUAUGAGUUUA